GAAAUGCGAUAAGUAAUGUGAAUUCAGAAUUCAGUGAAUCAUCGAAUCUUUGAACGCACCUUGCGCUCCUUGGUAUUCCUUGGAGCAUGCCUGUUUGAGUAUCAUGAAAUCUUCAAAGUAAAUCUUUUGUUAACUCAAUUGGUUUCUACUUUGGUAUUGGAGGUCUUUGCAGCUUCACACCUGCUCCUCUUUGUUCAUUAGCUGGAUCUCAGUGUUAUGCUUGGUUCCACUCGGCGUGAUAAGUUAUCUAUCGCUGAGGACACUGUAAAAGGUGGCCAAGGUAAAUGCAGAUGAACCGCUUCUAAUAGUCCAUUGACUUGGACAAUACUUUUAUGAUCUGAUCUCAAAUCAGGUAGGACUACCCGCUGAACUUAAGC
rnacentral:misc_RNA from 1 species